AGGCGGGGAUCGCGGCCAGCUAGGGCCAAUAGCGGGUCAGGCUGGUGCCCGAGAGGGCGGGACAGGGCCGGGUUGAGGAUCGUGGGGUCCUAGCGCCUGAUACUGAGACUGGCGUAGGAGGUGGGCGGAGCGGAACUGCGUUCUCUCGUGACGCGCGGUAGAGUUGGGGAAAUGAUCUGUGGUUCCCCUUCGGGUUGGGAGAUCCCGAGCCUGAGGCGAGCGUGGGCGGCACACACCUUCCCUUCCACUUUCAUCACCCCAGGGGUCAGGGAUCCGUCAAGGGCCAACGGAUGUUUCCUCCUUCCUCUGUAGCAGUCCCAGAGUCCUGACAUUGCCUAGCCAGAGUUUCUCGCGUCUGCCAGAGCAGCCGCUCCUCUAUCCAGGGCACUCAGAUUCCCAAGGAAACCCCCCUGAGGAGUUAGCAACCACCUACUAGUAGGUUUCGGUCCCAGGAUACUAAAGGUCAGGUAAAAAUGGGGAAAUGGGGGGAGGGUGUCUCUGAAAAGUACGUUGAUAAAACACCUAUUGUUGACUGAGUGUAUAUUACAUUGGAUUAAUGGAAUACGGCCUACUUAAACCUGGCUAUGGUUCCACCAUUAGUGGCUGUUGGCAAGCUGCCUCUGAAAAAUGAGGAUAAUAAAGGUUGAUUACUGCUCAGGGUUGCUCUGAGGUUUAAAUGCUAUAAUGCAUGUGAAAUGCUUAGUAUGGUACCUGAAAGUACUCAGUGUUAGAUAUUAUUACAUGGACAAAUGAAGUAAAAAAUAUGACCCGAAAAGACUUCAGGUCAACUUUCCUGAAUUGUGCAGAAAUAGGCAUCAAUCGCUUUUACUAACCAGGUUUACAGCUCUAUAUCCUGUCUCCACUUCUUCCAUUGUACUCAAUCAACAGAUUCACUGAAACUCGAACUGAGGGGACACAGUGGUGAGGGAAACAAACUGUCUGGCUUCUUGGGGCUGACAGUCUAGUGGGAAAAAGAGGGACAAAUAUUUCAUCACAUUUUCAGGGAAGCAUGCUAUAAAGGUUAUGAACAAAAUUUUGGAAAAGCAGAUACCAGGAUAGCUUUGAAAAAACUGGUCAGGAAAGGCCCAUCCGAGGGAUAAGGAGCCAAUAAUGAAAGAAAUGCCCUGGGGAAUUAUUUAAGAUAGAGGAAAUGGCUGUGCAAAGGACCUGUGGUAGGAAAGAACUUGGCUGUUGGAAUUGAGGGGAGUCCAUGGUGCAAGGAGGAGCCUGUCCUGAGAUUGGAGAGAUCUGGCAAAAAUACAGCAGAUUUGCAGAAACAGGCUGUUCACUUCCCACCCUGGUGCUGUCACUGCAGAUUGCUUCAGAGCUGCUGUCUCCUGGGCUUGGACAACGUGUCAGCAUCCGUCUUUGUCAUCACAAUCCCGGUGUUGCCCUGGGUGCUGGGUGCCUUGCAGAGCCAGCAGGCCAGCCCCAGGCAUGCCCUCUGGGUAUUUUGGCAGAAGACUGAAGGGGAACUAGAGAGACUGUUCAGAAUUAGACAAUAAAGAUAAAAGAGGGGCAGAAUCAGGCAAAGUGUUUUCAUUGGAAUCUUCCACUUUUAUGCUGAGAAGCAGGCAAGGCAAAAACUCUGGAUUCAGUUUGCAGGCAUAGGAGCACAUCUAUAGAUUUUUCCAGUGAUGGCUCUGAAUAAUAAGGGUCGUGUGGUUGGAUGUGUCCAUUGUGAGGAUUAUUCCGGCAGCCACCUUCAUGUUGAUUGGAGGGUAAGGCUAAGUUGUAACCUAACAAUGGGGAAGGAGGGCUUAGACUGGACCAGUGGCUGAGAAUGGAAAUGGACAUACCUCAGAGAUAUUGUAAAGGAAAUAUGCUGGUGGCUAGGGAUUAGUGUGUAUGAGAGCAAUAAUUUUUUUUUUUUUUUUUUUUUUUUGGCUGUACUCACAACGUGUGAAUGUUCCCAGGCCAGGGAUCAAACCCAUGCCACGGCAGUGACCUGAGCAAUGGCAGUGACAAGGCCAGAUUCUUAACCUGCUAGGCCACCAGGGAACUCCCAGUGAUUUUUUCUUUUUUUUGACAUCUGUGUAUUCCAAACUUGCAUUCAAGAAUUUGUCUGCUUUUGUACUUUAUCUCUUGCUAUAUAUUUUUAAAAAACCAGACUGCAUGUUUAUAUCUUAUUUUUUUAAUUUUAUUAUCUUUAUUUAUUUAUUUUUGGCUACAUCCAUGGCAUGCAGAAGUUCUUGGGCCAUGGAUUGAAUCCAAGUUGCAGCUGUGAUUUACACCAUAGUUGCAGCAAUGCUAGAUCCUUGGCCAAUUGGACCACACAGGAAGUUCUUACAUUUUGUUAUUUAUUUAUUUAAAAAAAUAUUUUUUUGGCCAUUCCUUGGCAUGCAGA